UACUGUAACAUACCUCCUUGUGAAGGCCUCAUCUCUGAAGCUAAGCAGAGCUCUGGUUAGUACUUGGAUGGGAGACCGUUGGGAAUAUCAGGUGCCACAGUGG
rnacentral:rRNA from 1 species